rnacentral:rRNA from 1 species
GACGAACGCUGGCGGCGUGCUUAACACAUGCCAGUCGAACGGAAAGGCCCUGCUUUUGUGGGGUGCUCGAGUGGCGAACGGGUGAGUAACACGUGAGUAACCUGCCCUUGACUUUGGGAUAACUUCAGGAAACUGGGGCUAAUACCGGAUAGGAGCUCCUGCUGCAUGGUGGGGGUUGGAAAGUUUCGGCGGUUGGGGAUGGACUCGCGGCUUAUCAGCUUGUUGGUGGGGUAGUGGCUUACCAAGGCUUUGACGGGUAGCCGGCCUGAGGGGGUGACCGGCCACAUUGGGACUGAGAUACGGCCCAGACUCCUACGGGAGGCAGCAGUGGGGAAUAUUGCACAAUGGGCGGAAGCCUGAUGCAGCAACGCCGCGUGCGGGGUGACGGCCUUCGGGUUGUAAACCGCUUUCGCCUGUGACGAAGCGUGAGUGACGGUAAUGGGUAAAGAAGCACCGGCUAACUACGUG